GGGUUGUGAGGUUAAGCGACUAAGCGUACACGGUGGAUGCCCUGGCAGUCAGAGGCGAUGAAGGACGUGCUAAUCUGCGAUAAGCGUCGGUAAGGUGAUAUGAACCGUUAUAACCGGCGAUUUCCGAAUGGGGAAACCCAGUGUGUUUCGACACACUAUCAUUAACUGAAUCCAUAGGUUAAUGAGGCGAACCGGGGGAACUGAAACAUCUAAGUACCCCGAGGAAAAGAAAUCAACCGAGAUUCCCCCAGUAGCGGCGAGCGAACGGGGAGCAGCCCAGAGCCUGAAUCAGUGUGUGUGUUAGUGGAAGCGUCUGGAAAGGCGCGCGAUACAGGGUGACAGCCCCGUACACAAAAAUGCACAUGCUGUGAGCUCGAUGAGUAGGGCGGGACACGUGGUAUCCUGUCUGAAUAUGGGGGGACCAUCCUCCAAGGCUAAAUACUCCUGACUGACCGAUAGUGAACCAGUACCGUGAGGGAAAGGCGAAAAGAACCCCGGCGAGGGGAGUGAAAAAGAACCUGAAACCGUGUACGUACAAGCAGUGGGAGCACGCUUAGGCGUGUGACUGCGUACCUUUUGUAUAAUGGGUCAGCGACUUAUAUUCUGUAGCAAGGUUAACCGAAUAGGGGAGCCGAAGGGAAACCGAGUCUUAACUGGGCGUUAAGUUGCAGGGUAUAGACCCGAAACCCGGUGAUCUAGCCAUGGGCAGGUUGAAGGUUGGGUAACACUAACUGGAGGACCGAACCGACUAAUGUUGAAAAAUUAGCGGAUGACUUGUGGCUGGGGGUGAAAGGCCAAUCAAACCGGGAGAUAGCUGGUUCUCCCCGAAAGCUAUUUAGGUAGCGCCUCGUGAAUUCAUCUCCGGGGGUAGAGCACUGUUUCGGCAAGGGGGUCAUCCCGACUUACCAACCCGAUGCAAACUGCGAAUACCGGAGAAUGUUAUCACGGGAGACACACGGCGGGUGCUAACGUCCGUCGUGAAGAGGGAAACAACCCAGACCGCCAGCUAAGGUCCCAAAGUCAUGGUUAAGUGGGAAACGAUGUGGGAAGGCCCAGACAGCCAGGAUGUUGGCUUAGAAGCAGCCAUCAUUUAAAGAAAGCGUAAUAGCUCACUGGUCGAGUCGGCCUGCGCGGAAGAUGUAACGGGGCUAAACCAUGCACCGAAGCUGCGGCAGCGACACUAUGUGUUGUUGGGUAGGGGAGCGUUCUGUAAGCCUGUGAAGGUGUGCUGUGAGGCAUGCUGGAGGUAUCAGAAGUGCGAAUGCUGACAUAAGUAACGAUAAAGCGGGUGAAAAGCCCGCUCGCCGGAAGACCAAGGGUUCCUGUCCAACGUUAAUCGGGGCAGGGUGAGUCGACCCCUAAGGCGAGGCCGAAAGGCGUAGUCGAUGGGAAACAGGUUAAUAUUCCUGUACUUGGUGUUACUGCGAAGGGGGGACGGAGAAGGCUAUGUUGGCCGGGCGACGGUUGUCCCGGUUUAAGCGUGUAGGCUGGUUUUCCAGGCAAAUCCGGAAAAUCAAGGCUGAGGCGUGAUGACGAGGCACUACGGUGCUGAAGCAACAAAUGCCCUGCUUCCAGGAAAAGCCUCUAAGCAUCAGGUAACAUCAAAUCGUACCCCAAACCGACACAGGUGGUCAGGUAGAGAAUACCAAGGCGCUUGAGAGAACUCGGGUGAAGGAACUAGGCAAAAUGGUGCCGUAACUUCGGGAGAAGGCACGCUGAUAUGUAGGUGAGGUCCCUCGCGGAUGGAGCUGAAAUCAGUCGAAGAUACCAGCUGGCUGCAACUGUUUAUUAAAAACACAGCACUGUGCAAACACGAAAGUGGACGUAUACGGUGUGACGCCUGCCCGGUGCCGGAAGGUUAAUUGAUGGGGUUAGCGCAAGCGAAGCUCUUGAUCGAAGCCCCGGUAAACGGCGGCCGUAACUAUAACGGUCCUAAGGUAGCGAAAUUCCUUGUCGGGUAAGUUCCGACCUGCACGAAUGGCGUAAUGAUGGCCAGGCUGUCUCCACCCGAGACUCAGUGAAAUUGAACUCGCUGUGAAGAUGCAGUGUACCCGCGGCAAGACGGAAAGACCCCGUGAACCUUUACUAUAGCUUGACACUGAACAUUGAGCCUUGAUGUGUAGGAUAGGUGGGAGGCUUAGAAGUGUGGACGCCAGUCUGCAUGGAGCCGACCUUGAAAUACCACCCUUUAAUGUUUGAUGUUCUAACGUUGACCCGUAAUCCGGGUUGCGGACAGUGUCUGGUGGGUAGUUUGACUGGGGCGGUCUCCUCCUAAAGAGUAACGGAGGAGCACGAAGGUUGGCUAAUCCUGGUCGGACAUCAGGAGGUUAGUGCAAUGGCAUAAGCCAGCUUGACUGCGAGCGUGACGGCGCGAGCAGGUGCGAAAGCAGGUCAUAGUGAUCCGGUGGUUCUGAAUGGAAGGGCCAUCGCUCAACGGAUAAAAGGUACUCCGGGGAUAACAGGCUGAUACCGCCCAAGAGUUCAUAUCGACGGCGGUGUUUGGCACCUCGAUGUCGGCUCAUCACAUCCUGGGGCUGAAGUAGGUCCCAAGGGUAUGGCUGUUCGCCAUUUAAAGUGGUACGCGAGCUGGGUUUAGAACGUCGUGAGACAGUUCGGUCCCUAUCUGCCGUGGGCGCUGGAGAACUGAGGGGGGCUGCUCCUAGUACGAGAGGACCGGAGUGGACGCAUCACUGGUGUUCGGGUUGUCAUGCCAAUGGCACUGCCCGGUAGCUAAAUGCGGAAGAGAUAAGUGCUGAAAGCAUCUAAGCACGAAACUUGCCCCGAGAUGAGUUCUCCCUGACCCUUUAAGGGUCCUGAAGGAACGUUGAAGACGACGACGUUGAUAGGCCGGGUGUGUAAGCGCAGCGAUGCGUUGAGCUAACCGGUACUAAUGAACCGUGAGGCUUAACCUUACAACGCCGAAG
rnacentral:rRNA from 1 species